rnacentral:rRNA from 1 species
GGUAAUUCCAGCUCCAAUAGCGUAUAUUAAAGUUGUUGCGGUUAAAAAGCUCGUAGUUGGAUCUCGGCGGGCAGGGGGCGGUCCGUUAUUUGACGCGACUGCCCCAUUUGCCCGUGUUUCUUCGGCAGAACUCCCGGGGUGCUCUUCGCCGAGUGUCCCGUUGGGGGCUGCCAGGUUUACUUUGAAAAAAUUAGAGUGCUCCAAGCAGGCUCGACACGCCUGAAUAUUCGUGCAUGGAAUAAUGGAAUAGGACGUCGUUCCUAUUUUGUUGGUUUUCGGGAAUCGACGUAAUGAUUAAUAGGGACAGUCGGGGGCAUUAGUAUUCAGACGACAGAGGUGAAAUUCUUGGACCGUCUGGCGACUCACUGCUGCGAAAGCGUUUGCCAAGUAUGUUUUCAUUAAUCAAGAACGAAAGUUAGAGGUUCGAAGGCGAUCAGAUACCGCCCUAGUUCUAACCAUAAACGAUGCCAGCUAGCGAUCCGCAGACGUUUUUAUUGUAGGCUCUGCGGGAAGCUUCCGGGAAACCAAAGCGUUUGGGUUCCGGGGGAAGUAUGGUUGCAAAGCUGAAACUUAAAGAAAUUGACGGAAGGGCACCACCAGGCGUGGAACUUGCGGCUUAAUUUGACUCAACACUGGAAAUCUCACCAGGCCCGGACACCGGAAGGAUUGACAGAUUGAGAGCUCUUUCUCGAUUCGGUGGGUGGUGGUGCAUG